GGUUGGGGUUGUGUUCUAGCUCAAAGGGAUUAUAUCGGAGAAAAUAGCUAAAAUCACGUUGAAAGUCACCCAUUUUAAUCCAUUAAUAUUGUAAUAUCGUUUUUGUAAAAGUAAAGUAUACGGAUAGUCCCUGUGGUUUACCAAAAGUAUACUAAUGGUCCUGGUGGUUUGCACUUUAUAACACAUUUAGUCCCCAACUUUGCCAAAAGUCACACGGAUGGUCCCUGUGGAACCAAAUCCAAAAUUUUGGUAAACCACAGGGACCAUCCGUAUACUUUACUCUUUUUAUAAUUUUAAUUAGAGUAAACUACACGUAUUGUCCUUUAUGUUAAUACCAUUUUUCAGGCGGUGUCCAUUGGCGAUAAAACUGACGAGUUUUGUACUUAACGUUUCAAAAUCUUGCACGUUUUGUCCUUUGGCCCUAACCCAGUUAAAUUUUUUGGUUAAAUCUGAUCACUCAAGGGUAUUAUAGUCUUUAAAGGUGUGAAACAUCAUAAUAUUGGACUUACUUGGCCACCUUCUUGC
rnacentral:lncRNA from 1 species